UUGGUUUGCUUUAUCUAUUAUAUAUGUGUUGCUUCACUUCUUCUUAGAAAUCACAAAUGCAUUAUCUCUUUAAUUUAUACUCUCAAACACUUUCUAUCUUAUAUAUUCUUUCAUUUUAUUUCUUUUCCUCCACAUAAACUCUCGUUUCCAAAUUUUCUAGGUUGAAUUUUUCAAAUAUCAAUAAUUUUUUUUUUCUGUUCUUGUUGUGAUGUCUACUUCAAAUAAUAAUAUUGAAGUUGAACGAGGAUGGAUGUAUAGGCGUAUGGAUCCAUAUCAGCCGAAAGUAUCUGCAGAAUAUGAAGUUGGGUUAGAGGGAUUCUUGAAUUUUGCUUCUCAGUGCUUAUAUGAGGGGGGAAGAAUUUGGUGUCCAUGCUCACAGUGUAACAAUAGGGAGCUUCUUCGUCCGAACAUUGUUCACAAACAUUUAUAUACGAAAGAUUCAACCCAACUACUAUGUUUGGACAGGACAUGGAGAAAAGAUCCAGCCUCAAUACCAAUAUGAAGCCGGCUAUGAAAAUUUUGAUUACAAUACAUAUCAAACAGUGGAGACGAAAUGGAAUUCUAAUGCCUACAUGGGAGACAUGUUUGAGUCACAAACAAGAAGAAAUUAUCCAAAGAGAAUCAAUGGAGAUGAUGAAAGAAAGAAAAAUUGAUAACCGGCUUAAAGAUCCAACACAAGCACGCGGAUCUACUCUAAACGGGUUAGAUUUUUUAAUUAAAAUUCUUAAUCUCAACUUUACCCUUUUUAAUUUCAAUUAACAUUCUCCUUAAUGUUCUGUUGAGUGGAAAUUGCUGUAAAUAAAGCCAACAUUUCAGACAUUUUUAAAAAUGUACUCCCUUUUAAUUAUAAGAAGAUACGACACAUUACAACCAUCAUCAUCAUCGAUAUAAUACUUAAUUAGUAGUAUCAAGCUUGAAAUAAUGACUAGAACAUGACCUAACCAUAUUCAACUUAAACCGUAUGACUAAUUAAUGUCAUGAAUGAGGUAGUUCACCAGAGAGAACUUGAUCUUCAAAGUUUUUAACUUAGUAUGGUCCCAAAUUAAAAGAAUCUAAUUCAACAAAUUUCAUAAACUAGACACAAUACAAGUAACCUGUGACACAUUCUAUUCUAACCUCUCCUUAAUUUCUACUUUACAUGAUAUGUAAUUAGGCUUUUUCUAAGAUGUCGUGAGAGAAAAUUUUUAUUUUUGUAUGUAUUAGACCAUAUGCAUCAGCAUACCCACAUGGCGUCCCACCUAAUAAAACAUUUAAAUUUAAAUGGAAAUGAAAAUAAUAUGAGAGGAACGUAUCUACACACGCGACGUUUUUUCAUCAGUCCUUGAAGACACGUGGCGCGGGCUUAUUGCUUCGUGGAAUUAGGGCGAUUUGAUUCUUCCUGGUGAUUUCUCUGAAAAUUGGGUGAAGCAAAGGCUAAUCUGCCGUCAAUCGGUUGCAAUAGGAAGAGUUUCCUUAGCCACACGUAAAGGAAGCCUCACAUAAAGAUAAAUCACAGAACAAGUAGCAAACAAUCUCCCUGUCAAAGGUAAAUAAUCGAUUCUAUUAGCAUCAAAAAUGUUGUGGUAUCAUUUUUUGAUUUGGUUGAGUAGUUCAUAUGUUUUGUAUCUUUAGAUUCGUCAAGUGUAUCUUUAGACUAGUUCAUAUGAAUUGGUAGACUAGUUCAUAUGUUUUGUAUCUUUAGAUUGGUAGACUAGUUCAUAUGUUUUGCUACUUAUAUAAAGCUGCGAGUAUAUGUAAUGUUGCAUUUGCAUUAAUAUAUGUAACUAAAGCUAGUUAUAUAAAGCUGCGAGUAUAUAUAUUGUUGCAUUUGCAUUAAUAUAUGUAACUGACAGUAUAACUAAGUUUGUGUAACUAAAUGUUUCAAUAAUGUAGUUGGUGUACUUGAUGUUUGUUGUCAUAAAUUGUGAUUAGACUUAGGUAGUUGAAGCUUUGGUCAUAAAUUGUGAUUAGACAAAGCUUUGGUCAUAAAGUAGGUAGUUGAAACCAUACUUUCUUGGUUCCUUGUUUCUUCUUUUAAAAACGAAACCAUACUUCCCUCUUUUCCUAAUCAUCUCAAACUCUUUCCUUGUUUCUUCCUUGUUUCUGUUUCUUGUUUCCGUUUCUUGGUUCCUUGUUUCUUCCUUGUUUCUGUCUCUCGUUUCUGUUUCUUGGUUCCUUGUUUUUUCUUUUAAACACGAGACCAUACUUCCCUCUUUUCAUAAUCAUCUCAAACUCUUUCCUUGUUUCUUCCUUGUUUCUGUUUCUUGUUUCCGUUUCUUGUUUCUCAAACUCUUUCCUUGUUUCUUCCCUCUAUGAGUUAUUACAAUACAUUCAGCCAGUCCAAUAGUUAUUUAGAUCUUCUCAACAGUCAAGGAGAGCCCCUUAACCAAGAAAAAUCUUCUUCCGAAAUACCUCCAUGGAGCUCUCAAGAUUCCCCGGAUGUACCUCUUUCUCAAGAGGCACCUGCGAGGAAGGAAAGGAAGAAGUGGAAUCCGGCUGACGAUGAAAUUCUGAUCAGUGCUUGGCUGAAUACUUCGAAGGACCCGAUCAUUGCUAAUCAACAGAAGGGAGGAAGCUUUUGGCAAAGGGUUGAAAAAUACUAUAGAGAGUCUCCUCAUGCGAGAGCCAAGGGUGAACAGGGGCUGAACAUAAACUGUAAACAGAGGUGGUUCAAGAUCAAUGAGUUCACUAACAAAUUCUGUGGGGCAUAUGCAGCUGCAGAGAGACAAAACAGUAGUGGACAGUCUGAGAACGAUGUAUUGAAGGUCGCUCACGAGAUAUACUUCGCCGACUAUAAUACCAAGUUUACAAUGGAGCAUUGCUGGUGUUUGUUAAGGUU